UAUCUCUGUAGAGUCUGCAUAUCAAUAAGCGGAGGAAAAGAGACUAACAAGGAUUCCCCUUAGUAACGGCGAGUGAAGCGGGAAGAGCUCAAAUUUGAAAUCUUCAAGGUUUUACCUUGACGAAUUGUAGUUUAAAGAAGUGUUUUCUGUUGGAGUUUUGGUAAAAGUUCUUUGGAAUAGGACAUCAUAGAGGGUGAGAAUCCCGUAUUUGACCAUUACUUUCCAGCUUUGUGAUACACUUUCAAAGAGUCGGAUUGUUUGGGAAUGCAGUCCAAAAUGGGUGGUAAAUUUCAUCUAAAGGCUAAAUACUGGCGAGAGACCGAUAGCGAACAAGUACCGUGAGGGAAAGAUGUAAAGAACUUUGAAAAGAGAGUUAAACAGUACGUGAAAUUGUCAAAAGGGAAGCGUUUGACACCAGUGUUGUUUUCUCGAAAAUCAAUUAAAAAUGGCCGGAUUUUGUGUUGUAUUGACUUUAUCAGCUUUCUGCACUUUUUUCUUGUCUUUUUUAAUGCACUUUUCGUUUAACAAGUCAACAUCAAUUUCUUUUGUUGUAAAAGGGUCAUUGGAAGGUGGCUUUCUUUUCGGAGAAAGUGUCUAUAGCCUUUGGCCUCUGCAAUCGGAGAGAUUGAGGUCUGCAGCGUAGAUCCUUCGGGGUUAGAUACAUUUGUGCUAAGUUAUAGCUUUUCAUAGACAACUUGUUGACUAUGUUUAGUCUUGUAGCUUACUCGCUUAUGCUAUUUUACCUACGCUUAGGAUGUUGAGUAGCGACAUACGCAC
rnacentral:rRNA from 1 species